rnacentral:rRNA from 1 species
UGGGGAGUACGGCCGCAAGGUUAAAACUCAAAUGAAUUGACGGGGGCCCGCACAAGCGGUGGAGCAUGUGGUUUAAUUCGAUGCAACGCGAAGAACCUUACCUACUCUUGACAUCCAGCGAAUCCUUUAGAGAUAGAGGAGUGCCUUCGGGAACGCUGAGACAGGUGCUGCAUGGCUGUCGUCAGCUCGUGUUGUGAAAUGUUGGGUUAAGUCCCGCAACGAGCGCAACCCUUAUCCUUUGUUGCCAGCACGUAAUGGUGGGAACUCAAAGGAGACUGCCGGUGAUAAACCGGAGGAAGGUGGGGAUGACGUCAAGUCAUCAUGGCCCUUACGAGUAGGGCUACACACGUGCUACAAUGGCAGAUACAAAGAGAAGCGACCUCGCGAGAGCAAGCGGAACUCAUAAAGUCUGUCGUAGUCCGGAUUGGAGUCUGCAACUCGACUCCAUGAAGUCGGAAUCGCUAGUAAUCGUAGAUCAGAAUGCUACGGUGAAUACGUUCCCGGGCCUUGUACACACCGCCCGUCACACCAUGGGAGUGGGUUGCAAAAGAAGUAGGUAGCUUAACCUUCGGGAGGGCGCUUACCACUUUGUGAUUCAUGACUGGGGUGAAGUCGUAACAAGGUAACCGUAGGGGAACCUGCGGUUGGAUCACCUCCUUA